rnacentral:rRNA from 1 species
CUCUAUGGCCAUAUCACCCUGAGCAUGCCCAAUAUCGUCUGAUCUCAGAAGUUAAGCAGGGUUGGGCAUGGUUAGCACUUGAAUGAGAGAAUAAAAAAAAACUAAGAGGAAAGUUACUACUAAGU